GGUGAACGCUGGCGGCGUGCUUAAGACAUGCAAGUCGAACGGCAGUCUUCGGACUGUAGUGGCGCACGGGUGAGUAACGCGUAACUGACCUACCCCAAAGUCCCGGAUAACGAUUCGAAAGAAUCGCUAAUACGUGAUGUGCUGUCAGAUUGUGUUCUGCCAGUAAAGAUUGAUUGCUUUGGGAUGGGGUCGCGUUCCAUCAGCUAGUUGGUGGGGUAAAGGCCCACCAAGGCGACGACGGAUAGCCGGCCUGAGAGGGUGGCCGGCCACAGGGGCACUGAGACACGGGUCCCACUCCUACGGGAGGCAGCAGUUAGGAAUCUUCCACAAUGGGCGAAAGCCUGAUGGAGCGACGCCGCGUGAGGGAUGAUGGUCUUCGGAUCGUAAACCUCUGAAUCAGGGACGAAAGACACUUCGGUGGGAUGACGGUACCUGAGUAAUAGCACCGGCUAACUCCGUGCCAGCCGCCGCUGUAAGAC
rnacentral:rRNA from 1 species